AUUAACCAAUUGCCGAAUUUUGUUUUUUUGAAAACGGGGGAACCAUUCCGGGUGAAUUAUUCUUGAAAGCAAGAGAAUAUAGGGAACCUUUUACCGAAUCCUCAGCUAACUCCGUAGGCAUCGAAAGGAAGACGA
rnacentral:sRNA from 1 species